GAUGAACGCUAGCGGCAGGCCUAAUACAUGCAAGUCAAGGGGCCAGUAAUGGCACCGGCGGACGGGUGCGUAACGCGUACACAACGUACCUUUGGGUGGGGGAGUAGCAUCGGGAAACUAGGUGGUAAUACCCCACUGGUAUUGGAGACUGGCAUCAGUUUUCUAAUUAAAGACUACGCCCAAAGAUCGGUGUGCGUCUGAUUAGCUAGUUGGUAGGGUAACGGCCUACCAAGGCGACGAUCAGUAGGGGAGUGUGAGAGCAUGAUCCCCCACCACGGGUACUGAGACACGGACCCGACUCCUACGGGAGGCAGCAGUAAGGAAUAUUGGACAAUGGUCGGAAGACUGAUCCAGCCAUGCCGCGUGAAGGAUGAAGGCGCUCAGCGUUGUAAACUUCUUUUGUACGGGAACAAAAUGCGACCUGCGGGUUGUACUGAGGGUACCGUAAGAAUAAGCACCGGCUAACUCCGUG
rnacentral:rRNA from 1 species